rnacentral:rRNA from 1 species
CCUACGGGAGGCAGCAGUGAGGAAUAUUGGACAAUGGGCGCAAGCCUGAUCCAGCCAUGCCGCGUGCAGGAAGAAGCAUCUAUGGUGUGUAAACUGCUUUUGUACGGGAAGAAACACUCCUACGUGUAGGAGCUUGACGGUACCGUAAGAAUAAGGAUCGGCUAACUCCGUGCCAGCAGCCGCGGUAAUACGGAGGAUCCAAGCGUUAUCCGGAAUCAUUGGGUUUAAAGGGUCCGUAGGCGGUUUAAUAAGUCAGUGGUGAAAUCUGGUCGCUUAACGAUCAAACGGCCAUUGAUACUGUUAGACUUGAAUUAUUGUGAAGUAACUAGAAUAUGUAGUGUAGCGGUGAAAUGCUUAGAUAUUACAUGGAAUACCAAUUGCGAAGGCAGGUUACUAACAAUAUAUUGACGCUGAUGGACGAAAGCGUGGGGAGCGAACAGGAUUAGAUACCCUGGUAGUCCACGCCGUAAACGAUGGAUACUAGCUGUUGGGCGCAAGUUCAGUGGCUAAGCGAAAGUGAUAAGUAUCCCACCUGGGGAGUACGUUCGCAAGAAUGAAACCUUAAGGAAUUGACCGGNUGAGAGAGCGAGACGACGACGAGGGAGGAGG